rnacentral:rRNA from 1 species
GACGAACGCUGGCGGCGUGCUUAACACAUGCAAGUCAAGCGGAAAGGCCCUUUCGGGGGUACUCGAGCGGCGAACGGGUGAGUAACACGUGAGCAACCUGCCCUUCACUUUGGGAUAACCAUCGGAAACGGUGGCUAAUACCGGAUACGACGCUCCACCGCAUGGUGUGGGUGUGGAAAGUUUUUCGGUGGGGGAUGGGCUCGCGGCCUAUCAGCUUGUUGGUGGGGUGAUGGCCUACCAAGGCGAUGACGGGUAGCCGGCCUGGGAGGGCGACCGGCCACACUGGGACUGAGACACGGCCCAGACUCCUACGGGAGGCAGCAGUGGGGAAUAUUGCGCAAUGGGCGAAAGUCUGACGCAGCGACGCCGCGUGGUGGAUGAAGGCCCUCACGGGUCGUAAACACCUGUUCUGAGGGACGAAAUUUUUGACGGUACCUCAGGAGAAAGUAUCGGCAAACCCUGUGCCAGCAGCCGCGGUAA